rnacentral:rRNA from 1 species
CCUACGUGGUGCAGCAGUGGGGAAUAUUGGGCAAUGGGCGCAAGCCUUACCCAGCAACGCCGCGUGAAGGAAGCAGGCUUUCGGGUUGUAAACUUCUUUUAAGAUGGAAGAGCAGAAGACGGUACCUCUUGAAUAAGCCACGGCUAACUACGUGCCAGCAGCCGCGGUAAUACGUAGGUGGCACUCGUUGUCCGGAUUUACUGGGUGUAAAGGGCGUGUAGCCGGGCUGACAAGUCAGAUGUGAAAUUCCGGGGCUCAACCCCGGACCUGCAUUUGAAACUGUAUGGCUGGAGUGCAGGAGAGGUAAGUGGAAUUCCUAGUGUAGCGGUGAAAUGCGUAGAUAUUAGGAGGAACACCAGUGGCGAAGGCGGCUUACUGGACUGUAACUGACGUUGAGGCUCGAAAGCGUGGGGAGCAAACAGGAUUAGAUACCCCAGUAGUC